rnacentral:lncRNA from 1 species
UGAGUCGCAGAGCCCAGAAGAGGACCUCAACUUUGUAACAGACACUGCCAAGGCACUGGCAGAUGUUGCCACAGUGCUGGCACGAGCUUUGUACAAGCUUGCAGGAGGAACCAACUUCAACAACUCCAUUCAGGCUGAUCCCCAGACAGUUACACGUCUGCUCUAUGGGUUCCUGGUCAGAGCUAACAACUCAUGGUUUCAGUCUAUCCUCAGACAUGAUCUGAGGUCCUAUUUGGGUAAGCAUCUGCUGUGAGAAGGGGGAUUCCCACCUGAUGAACCGUGCAAAGAAAAGGGCAUUGUUUUGCUUUAAUCUUUUUUUUUUUUCCUCUACUUUCUUUCUGCCUGUCUUCCUUCCUUUUUCUUGAUGUUGGUUGGACCCUCUUCUAACAUGCUCCCUUCUGGCCAAUGCUGGGUUCUUUCUGUUUCUGCCCCACUUGACCUCACCUUCCAAAUCCCCCUUUCCCUUUGGCCCGCAAUCAGAUGAUGGGCCUCUUCAACACUACAUCGCUGUCUCCAGCCCUACCAACACGACUUACGUUGUGCAGUAUGCCUUGGCAAACCUGACUGGCAAGGUGACCAACCUCACCCAAGAGCAGUGCCAGGAUCCAAGUAAAGUCCCAAAUGAAAGCAAGGAUGUGAGUGGCGUUGUAUGAAUACUCGUGGGUACAAGGCCCUUGGAAUUCCAACAAGACAGAGCGGCUCCCACGGUGUGUGCGCUCCACAGUACGACUGGCUAGGGCCUUGUCCCCCGCCUUUGAGCUGAGUCAGUGGAGCUCCACAGAAUACUCUACGUGGGCCGAGAGCCGCUGGAAAGAUAUCCAAGCUCGGAUAUUCCUCAUUGCCAGCAAAGAACUUGAGUUCAUCACGCUGAUCGUGGGCUUCAGCAUCCUCGUCUUUUCUCUCAUCGUCACUUAUUGUAUCAACGCCAAGGCCGAUGUCCUUUUCGUUGCUCCCCGAGAGCCAGGAGCUGUGUCUUACUGAAGAGGACU